CUGAGAUGCACGUCAUGAUUAUUUAAGGCGAUGCGGUGGUCAGUGCUACAGUUGCCUAAAAUAAUUUCCUGUUUUCAAUAUGUUGAACUCAUCUAGUCACACCACAGAAGCAGGGGAAUUAAUGCCACAGAGCUUCUACUCAGUCGAGUCGCUGCUGUAAACAGCAAGAAGGGGUGGAUGGUGACAUGCCAAGUCCUCCAGUUCAAAUGAACAGGGGAGCGUCCUAAACUCCAACCCUCACGAUGGAAUGACCCUCGCUCUCUUCACUACUGCCCACCCCCCACCAUUGGUACACACCAUGCCCAGGGUACAGCCCAACCUGGGACUUGAACUCAUGACCCUGAGAUGAAGACCUGAGCUGAGAUCAAGAGUCAGACAUUUAACCAACUGAGCCACCCAUGCCCCCUCCAGGGAAAAGCCUUCGAAAGGAGAUGGAAAAUUCUGAGCAUGUGGUCCAGAAUCACAAAUCUGCAUGCUUCGGGUGGGGAAGGACGGAAGACACCGCGGCCGCCGGGCACAAUCAUGAUCCCGUGAGCCUACUGGUUUGCUGAGGUGAUCCUCACCCAGCCCAAGCGCCAUCUUGCCCUGGAUCC